UACGGGAGGGGCAAGCGUUGUUCGGAAUCAUUGGGCGUAAAGGGCGCGUAGGUGGUCUUGUAUGUCUACCGUGAAAGCGUACGGCUCAACCGUAUUUAGUCGGUAGAAACUGCAGGACUUGAGGCUGGGAGGGGCUGGUGGAAUUCCCUGUGUAGCGGUGAAAUGCGUAGAGAUGGGGGAGAACACUCGUGGCGAAGGCGGCCAGCUGGACCAGUUCUGACACUGAGGCGCGAUAGCGUGGGGAGCAAACAGG
rnacentral:rRNA from 1 species